rnacentral:rRNA from 1 species
UACGUAGGUGACAAGCGUUGUCCGGAUUUACUGGGCGUAAAGAGCGCGCAGGCGGUCGUUCAAGUCGAGUGUGAAAGCCCCCGGCUCAACUGGGGAGGGUCAUUCGAUACUGAUCGACUCGAAGGCAGGAGAGGGUAGUGGAAUUCCCGGUGUAGUGGUGAAAUGCGUAGAUAUCGGGAGGAACACCAGUGGCGAAGGCGGAUCUCUGGGCCUUGCCUGACGCUGAGGCGCGAAAGCUAGGGAGCGAACAGG